UACUCCUACUCAGUGAAAGCUUCCUGU
rnacentral:piRNA from 1 species